UGUUUUGGGCAUAUUGGCUGUGGAGCACAUGAAAACUCUACAGUUAAGCGUGCUCAAGUGAGAGUAGUAUCAGGAUGGGUGACCUCAUGGGAAGUCUCCACCGGGGCAA
rnacentral:rRNA from 2 species